CUGAGACCAAACAGCAGCAAAUGAGCUGUGGUCAGCAGUGUUACAGCACCAGCCUGGUCCAGCCAGGCUUCAGGCCACUGCUCAGAGCCAGCCACUGCUGAAAAACAAGGAGAGGGGGCAGUCAAAGCAGAAUGAGGAACACAGAAGGCCACAGAGAGACGGGGCGCUGGGCAGGGCUUAUCGCACCCCUCAGCCCAGGGAACCUCUGGUGCUCCCUAUUGGGUUCCACAUUUCCAGGGAUCCCCAGAGUAGCACAGUUAGAGGUUCAACACAAGCGUCCUGCACAGGAAGGAAGGGCUUGAGGAUAACUUCAGAGUUUUCUGGAUGUAUUCUUGGAGGACACACUGCAGAACAGCUACAGCAACUCCUGUUCCAAGCAAAGUCUGAAGGCAGGAAGAACUUUUUACUUAGAAAUCAUACUUAUAAAAACACUGUUCUGUGACUUGUUUCAUCCUGCAAUCUCACAAGUUUCCUCAGACACCUCUUGCAAAAUAACUUUG
rnacentral:lncRNA from 1 species